rnacentral:rRNA from 1 species
GAUGAACGCUAGCGAUAGGCCUAACACAUGCAAGUCGAGGGGCAGCACGGGAGUAGCAAUACAACUGGUGGCGACCGGCGCACGGGUGAGUAACGCGUAUGUAAUCUACCUACAACAGGGGGAUAACCCGGAGAAAUCCGGACUAAUACCGCAUAAAACAGGGGUCCCGCCUGGGACUAUUUGUUAAAGAUUUAUCGGCUGUAGAUGAGCAUGCGUUCCAUUAGAUAGUUGGUAAGGUAACGGCUUACCAAGUCAGCGAUGGAUAGGGGAACUGAGAGGUUUGUCCCCCACACUGGAACUGAGACACGGACCAGACUCCUACGGGAGGCAGCAGUGAGGAAUAUUGGUCAAUGGGCGAGAGCCUGAACCAGCCAAAUCGCGUGAAGGAAGACUGCCUUAUGGGUUGUAAACUUCUUUUACAGGGGAAUAAAAAGACAUACGAGUAUGUCAUUGCAUGUACCCUGUGAAUAAGCAUCGGCUAACUCCGUGCCAGCCGCCGCUGUAA